GGGAUGGUAGCUCAGCAGUAGAGCAUUUGCCUGUCAUGCAGAAAACUCUAGGUUCCAUCUCC
rnacentral:tRNA from 1 species